rnacentral:rRNA from 1 species
GACGAACGCUGGCGGCGCGCUUAACACAUGCAAGUCGAACGGAGUGCCCCCUUCGGGGGGUGUUCAGUGGCGAACGGGUGCGUAACACGUGAGCAACCUGCCUGUAGGUGGGGGAUAACCCGGGGAAACCCGGGCUAAUACCGCAUACGAUCCACGGCCCGAUUGGGUGGUGGAGGAAAGCUCCUCGCGAGGGGAGCGCCGACAGAGGGGCUCGCGGCGUAUCAGCUAGCUGGUGGGGUAACGGCUCACCAGGGCAACGACGCGUAGCCGAUCUGAGAGGAUGAUCGGCCACAUUGGGACUGAGAUACGGCCCAGACUCCGUACGGGAGGCAGCAGGUGGGGAAUCUUGCGCAAUGGGCGAAAGCCUGACGCAGCGACGCCGCGUGCGGGAGGAAGC